rnacentral:rRNA from 1 species
UACGUAGGGGGCAAGCGUUGUCCGGAUUUACUGGGCGUAAAGAGCGUGUAGGCGGCCAAACAGGUCCGUUGUGAAAACUCGAGGCUCAACCUCGAGACGCCGAUGGAAACCCUCCAGCUAGAGUCCGGAAGAGGAGAGUGGAAUUCCUGGUGUAGCGGUGAAAUGCGCAGAUAUCAGGAGGAACACCGGUGGCGAAGGCGGCAUCCUGGACCGGCACUGACACUGAGGAGCGAAAGCCAGGGGAGCAAACGGG